GCAUUGAUGGUUCAGUGGUAAAAUGCUCGCUUGCGACGUGGGCGGCCGGCGGCCCGGGUUCGAUUCCCGGUCGAUGCA